rnacentral:misc_RNA from 1 species
UCUCCGUAGGUGAACCUGCGGAGGGAUCAUUACAGAGUUCUCGCCCUCACGGGUAGAUCUCCCACCCACUGUUAUCGUUACUGUCGUUUCUUUGGCGGGCCGCCGGGUCCCCAGCCGCCGGCGCCUAGCUGCCGGCGCGCGCCCGCCAGAGGCCUUCAAACUCUGAAUGUUAGUGUCGUCUGAGUACUAUAUAAUAGUUAAAACUUUCAACAACGGAUCUCUUGGUUCUG